rnacentral:lncRNA from 1 species
GCACAGCCAAGGUUAAACACCACUUGAACUCUGUGACUUAAAGCAAGUUUUCCAGGCCAGCCCCCGUGGCCUAGUGGUUAAGUUCAGCGCACUCUAAUUCAGCGGCCUGAGUUCAGUUCCUGGGUGUGGACUUACACCAUCUGUCUGUCAGUGGCCCUGCUAUGGCAGCAGCCCAUAUACAAAAAGAGGAAGAUUGGCAACAGAUGUUAGCUUCAAGGGAAAUCUUUCUCAGCCAAAAAAAAACGCGAGUUUUCUAAUUUGGCAAAGAUUUAAUUUCCUUCUUGGUAAGAUGGACCCUGACUGCUGCAGCCACCUUGGUGGUUAGGUGGCUUUCCUCGUUGUCACUGCUACCAUGACAUUGGAAAUCUCUCCACGUAUUAUGAACCAACACAGGAAUCCCAGACCUCCUUUCAAAGUCCUGCAGUCCUCCCCACCAAGCCCUACAACUAGCAGGGGACCUAGAAAUAGACACUUUGCAGCGGAGGGAGCCAGAUUCUCCAAUUUUCCCUUAAUGGUAGGAGCAUCAACAUCAACGUUCUAUUAGUCAAAAUCUCUAAAAACUCUCAGCCUCUUCUGAAAGAGGCAACAGGGAGUCUGACAGACCUGGGUUUGAAUCCUGGCUCCGCUACUUACUGACUGUGAGACCUUCCAGUUCCUCAGAUUCCUCAUGUAUAAAUAAUAAUAAUAAUGUGGAAUAGUAAUAUCUGCCUCUCACACUUGCCGUAAGGAUUGAAUAAGACAACCUAUGCGAGGGCUUA